GGGUUUUAGCUGGGUCUUUGUCUAAGCAGGCCUGGAGCCCCAGCUGCCUCUGCCCCUGAACUGAAUGCCUUUGUGUAAAUGGUCACCCUGACUCUGAUAUUGCAUCAGCCCCUAUUUGUACCCCAACCUAUUUCUACAUCAGUAGAGUGUACAUAUAAAAACAGGCUUUGUAAUCUGGUUGAGAAAAUGCAUGGAUAUUUAGAGGUUUCCCCCUCACUGUCACCUUUGGAUGAUUAAACCUAGUGGAAAGAAACUUUAUGUGAUCAAGAAUGCAAAAUGACCGAUCCACACAAGAACUGUGACUUUUUUUCACUGCUGCAAUUCCCUGUUGCCAAGAUGUCCCUGGUAAGCUGAAGAGUGGUGCCAGACCAAACAGAUUGCAAACCAUGGUAGGUAGUAAGGCUUGUGAAAUCCGUGGAUUGAAAACCAUGGAGGAGCGUUGGCAAUUAUCCUGCUGUCAUGACUGAAAUGUCCAUUUCCCUCAGAUUCUGAGACUUUCUCCUUUGGAUCAUGGUAGAUAAGGUGCAAAAAAAUUAUUUCAAUAUACCUCCCUGUUAAUUUCACUGGUUAAAUUGAAUGCUGUUUCUAGUCAAUUUUAUAUCCCACAUAGCCCCUAUUCAUAGUUUAUCACAUCCUAAAUUUAGAAUAGGUAAAGAAAUACUCAGCCCUAAAAUUACGUGGUACAUGUAGACCAGGAGUUUUAAAGUAUCAUUCCAAAAAAGUUUUUUUUAAAGUAGUUAUUUCUAAUGUCAUGCACACAUUUAUGUAGAAACUGGUAGCCUAUAUUACAAAGUUUCAUUUAAUAAACUGUCAAAUGUGUUUGAGUAGAAAGGCCACCAGUGCCACCAGGGAAAGAAGCUCCACAGAGUUGACACUGACAAAAUCUAAAAUGUGUUAACCUUGGAGUCUUUCAGUAUAAUCCAGUGACAAUGUGACUUGGGUUGACAGACUUACUGAGCCAUGUUCAGAAUUUCAAUCAAUGUGUAUAUUUUGAGUAUGUAAGCCUACAUUCACAUCCUAUAUCCCAAGUGUUGAGUCCUGAUAUCAAAUAAUUAAAGGAUUUGCGUUAAAAGUCACAUGGUGGCUGAUGACUGCUGGGCAGUUGCGGGUACGGAAGACUGAUUCCUCUGGGCUGUGGAAGAGCUCUGGCAAGUAUCCCACUUUCAUGACUAAAAUGCCCAUUUCCCUUAGAUUCUGAAUCUUUCUCCUUUGGAUCCUGGUGGAUAGGGAGCAAGAAAUUACUUCAAUAUACCUCCAUGUUAAUUUCACUAAUUAAAUUGAAUGCUGUUUCUAGUCAAUCUUACUUCCCACAUGCCUACGAGAUUAUGGGUAUUGCUUCCUGUUUGGGUUGACAUUAAUUUACCUUCAGAUGGAAUUUGUCUUCACAAUAUCUCAGAGCUGCCCUGGAAUCUCAGUCUCCUCAUACACUGCUGUCACUUAUCAGGUAGUUAAAAUAGCACCAAUGACAACCAAUAUUUACAUGGCAUUUAUUGCUUGUCAAAAAUGGAAAUGAGUAUAAAAUUUGGAAAAGAAGUCUCUGCUAAUAUACAAACGUUUGAAGAACUCUUGAAAGACCUCAGUGAGUUGAAGAUUAUAGAAUAAAUCGAAACGGGUUGAUGCACUAUUUUUCAUGAGUUUACAAUCCUAUCUUAUUCUCUCUAGGGAAUAAAAAUAUUGUACUCCCAUAAACAUGUGGCCAUACUGUGUCUCACCCCUAUUUUCUUCCACUGAAUCAUUCUUUCCUCUUUUAGGCAUUCAGCAAGCUGUCUUCAAGCACUGAACAUUGCUCACCUUGUUUCAGACAGGUCCUGUGACAAAUUAUGGCCUCUGCAGACAUAAAAAUAUAUCGAUCAAGAGAACUUGUAAGACAUGGAAGAAAAAUUAAUCCAUGCUUUUCUUAGAAAAAGGAAACCACCUUUUUGAGCAAACUUUGAGCAGGGCAGGCUCUGGAGCCUCAGCAUCACAUCUGUUCUGAAGGUCUUGCUUAGUUGCUGAGGUGGGCUUCACACUUGAUAUCCUCCUGCCUCAGCCUCCUGAGUUGUGGAGGCAUGCAUCACUCCUGGAAAGAGGGAAAAGGAGACAGCUUUGGCUCUGGGGGAAAGAGCCACAAGAUAGCCACUAGGACAAAGAAACAGAAGAACACAGAUAGGGGUCUGCGCAGAGGGAAGUGUUUUGACACAUAACUCACACUGCUGAAGGACGAAGAAGACAAUGAAGACCGUGAAGAGGUCCAUCCACACUGGGCAGCCAUUCUUUUCUCCACUGGAAACCAGUCUCUACCUCACUUCCAUUUUCUCUGCGAAUACCAAGAAGAUCAGAAUCAGAGUGAAAAAGAAGGUGCUGAUUUGGCUGGAGAAUAUGGAAAAUAAACAAAAACACAUGGAAUCAUAUAGCACCUGGGAAAUAUUGUGCCACUUCCUUGGGCUUCUUUGAUAUCCAGUGAGAAGUCUGCUAUUGUUUGAAUUAUUUUUCCUAUAAAGAUACACUUUCCAGGACAUAGUGGAAAUUCAACAAUUGUCAAAUAUAAAAGGCACAUCAGCAUGAUCCACUCUUAUCUUAUGGGACAUUGUGGAUAUAUUCUGAAUCUCAAAGGAAUGGAGGGUUGCUGUAUGUGAGUCCCAAUCAGAUGAGAUCUGCUCACAUUCUUCAUGGCUCUGCCUAUUCUGUGGUGUCCUGCUUCAUUGUUGGCCAUGCUGCCUGCUAGCAUCCAAUAGGAAAAGACAAGGACAAACUAGACAUGCCUCAAUAAACUCUGAAAGAGUUCUAGCCAUUUUUGUAAAUUUAGCAAUUUUAUUAUUGAGCUCCCGCUGUCUGUCACUUUAUGUGAAGAAAUCAAGGUUCUGAGGUUGAAUCAUUUCCUUAGAUUAAUAGGAAUGACACCGUCUCCAAUUAAAAAGACACAACAUGCUCCUUUUAAAUUCCUUCUACUAUACAACCUUCUUUUGACUGGUGACCACCUGGAAGGAAAUGUCUUGCCUUGACUUGUUCUGAAUUACACCUAACAAUGUAUCUUAUUAGAAGUCAAAGUUAACUGCUUUCUAGUUCCAAUAAACUGGAAAAGGUACUAGGAAUUCUUUUAACAAGUCCUUGAAAUUAGUCCAUAUUUUACAUGAACCCCAGAGUGUAUGUGUAUGUAAAUAAAUAAAUAUAUGAAAAAAUAAAUAUAUACACAUGUGUACACCCACAUAUAUACAUGCACAUAUAUGCACAGGCACAUGUGCACACAUAUAUGAAACAUGCACAUUGCUUAUGUGUGCAUAUUAACACAUGUAUUGCUCUAAAAAAUCUUGUUUGGGGCUGGGGAUGUGGCUCAAGGGGUAACGCGCUCACCAGGCAUGUGCAGGGUGCU